rnacentral:sRNA from 1 species
AGUGACCUGGUUGAAGGAAUAAUAUCCACUGAUGAUAUCUAUUGAUGACGUCUGCUAAUGAUAUAUAUGAUGAUAUCUGGCAAUGAUAUAUCGAUCCAGCAAUGACAUAUACCAAUGAUGUCUAUCAAUGAUGAUAUCUAGCGAUGAUAUCUAGCGAUAAUAUUGCUUAAUAGCAACAUAAUGAAUAAUAUGACUUCGCACUUUUGCUCUCUCUUGGCCCAGCUGCAUGAUUCCUGCUAUACAGUGUUGUGCCUGAGCUUUCCAACCCUUUGGAGGAAUUAAAAAUGUCUUCAUCCCCUG